rnacentral:lncRNA from 1 species
UGAACCAGUCAGUUCACCAGUUACAGCUUUCUAGUCCUGGCAAACAGCCAGAAAACAAUGUAAGAAGAAACAUCAACAAUUAAUCAUUUCAGGAGAUCACAACAGGGUAAUCAAGAUUUGGCAGUCAGCAUUCUCAGUACUCUUCAAGACAAAAUGAAAUCCUUGAAGAUGUCUUCUGUUGUCACUUUGUCCUACAUCGUCCCAGAAGAACUGCUACUUUGCAUCAUCACAAUUCAAAACAUUCCAGCCACAGAGUUCCAGCACUCCUUUUACGUUCCGUCCAGACGUCUGAAUGCUAAGGAAUAUGUCGGAUAUCACUAGGUGGCUAAAAUUAUGUCUGCUAGAUGGCGCGAGUGUCUUCGUUACUCAAAACGAAAUUCCGCCAUUUUAUAACAUUGAUUGACUGAUUGACACUGAUUGAAAACGUAUCGUUGGAUAGGAUACUUAAUACGCCGUACUUUUCUUUCUUGAAAGUUUUAUUCGUAAAAAUGGUAUUUAUCUGGUAACAGCCUAUAAUUUCUACAUGGCAAAAUCGUGUGGCCUGAGCAGCUGAACAUUUUGCCAAAAUGUCGUCUCUUUUUUCCUGUACCAGCUCCACGUUUGUCAGAAACACUUCAGAACAAUUCGGGAUUAACACCCUGGUGGAGUUUGAGCUUCUUUGUUGCUGCCCAACUUUCACAUGGAUUUGACGCAGCCAGCUGAGGGCUUUAAUUCUUGUUUAGCGUUUAUGUUCGCGCAGUUGCUUUCCGAUGUGGCACGUUGCUGCAGCCUAUACUGGUGAAAGAUCUUUCUACAUCAAGUUCAAUUGGCCGUUCCUUGGUGCUGGUGUCGUGUUACCGAAGUUGCAUCAUUAUUUUGUUAAAUUGUCAUCGUUACUAUGCAGUUUACCGUUUAUAAGUUAAAAAAAUGGGUUGUUUAUGUCAAUCAAAUAAUAAACAUGUUUGCGGGGUUGGGAAAGGGAAGUGGGGGGGGGUAUCUUUCAAGUUUUGGAUAAAAAAUCAGUUAUUAAUCUAUAACCCCACAAUCAUAUCCCAACCAACUAGUCUCCAAACCCCACAAACUUAUACCUUCCAAUUCUUCAAACCCUACUAACAUACACCUACCAUCCUCUAAAUUUAUACCCUAAACCCCAUAGACCAAUGUUAAACCUAAACAAUGUAAUAUCUGUAAUAAAUAAACAUA